UGUGUGUGUGUGUGUGUGUGUGUGUGUGUGUGUGUGUGUGUGUGUGUGUGUGUGUGUGUGUGUGUGUGUGUGUGUGUGUGUGUGAGAGAUAUUAGCAUAGCUGCAUGCCUCUCUGGGUCAUGGAUCCUCAGGUUUGAAUCUGACAGGUGCUAAAAUCUGCUUCGGCUUCACCUCCUGCUACCUGAGUAGCUCAGAAGUGUGAUUGGCGGUUCAGCAGUGAUGUCACAGAUGGGGGGCGGGGUCAGCCUCACCUGGGAGAUCUCAGGAGAACAACAGCGGUGAUGCUGUGAGGUGCCGAGCCAAGUCCGUCCGGUGAAGAGACGCGAGCGGUUGGGAGCCAGGAGACGCCUACCCCCCAGCCAAGAGACGCUUAGUCCCCAUCGCAGGAUGACACGGCGUUGGAGGGGCCGACCGAAUCGAGUCCUGCAACUACAGGUCUAAAGUUGCCUGGGCAACUUCCCCGUUUGCCCUCUUUGACUAAGUUGCAGCUCUGGAGAAAAAACAAUUUUUUUUUAAGAAAACUGAAAUCAAUUAAUUUAUCAUCACAUGAAUGGAUCUUAGCUGGCUAGCUAAAGGUAAAGACAUUUACGCCAACGUGGACAUGAGCUUCUCUCUCAAAGAAACAUUCAUGUUAGUUUACGAUAUGAAACAAGCUAAUGUGGGAGUUAGCAUCUUUCUAAUAGAAAGCUGGCGUUAGCUGAUAAGUAGUAAACAUCCACGUUAGCUUACGAUAUGAAACAAGCUUAUGUGCGAGUUAGCUUCUUUCUAAAAGAAGACUGAUGUUAGCAUUUAGGAAUUGAAAUUCACAUUAGCUUACAAUAUUAAACAAGUUAAUGCGCAAGUUAGCUUCUUUCUAAUAGAAAGCCAGCGUUAGCUGAUAAGAAGUAAACAUCAACGUUAGCUUACGAAAUGAAACAAGCUAACUUGGACAUAAGCUUCUUUUUAAAAGAAGACUGACGUUAGCGGAUAAGAAAUUAAAAUCCUAGUUAGCUUACGAUAUGAAACAAGCUUAUGAUAUGAAACAAGCUAAUGUGGGAGUUAGCUUCUUUCUCAAAGAAGACUGAUGUUUGCUUUUAGGAAUUGAAUUCCACAUUAGCUUAUGAUAUGUAACAAGCUUGUGAUAUGAAACAAGCUAAUGUGGGAGUUAACUUCUUUCUAAAAGAAAGCGGACGUUAGCUGAUAAGAAGUCAACAUCAACGUUAGCUUAUGAUAUGAAACAAGCCAACGUGGCAGCUAGCUUGUUUCUAGCAUGUGUCAACAGCUGCUGGCUCUGUUUUUUUAAAACAUGCUUCAUUGAGUUUGUGAUGAAUUUUCAAACAAUAAGCAGAUGCAGACGCCUUAUUUUGAGAUGAUGAGUUGUUCAAAUCGGUUGAAACCUGCAGCGUGUUUUGGGAGCUUACAGUUGAAAGCCUUCCAGGUCAGAGCAAAGCCCCUCGAAAUGUCUGUGCACGUCUCCGGUCUGUUCCUCUGUUAAAAACAGCCCGUCAGUAGUGAACAGUACCGACCCCCUGCCGUGCUCCGAGCUGCUGAAUCAACAGUCACAUCAGAGUAAAGCUCCUCCCGCGCAGCCAAUGUCACGACGAGGCCGCGAGCGUGGCAGACGUCUGCGAUGUUGAGUUUAAUUUGUGUCAGAAUAAUGAAUCGAGUCCUAAUUAAAGAGAAGGAGCUGAAGCGUUGUUGUCUCGUCCACAACAACUCGCCGCGGGACAUGUUGCUGUAAAGUGUUUUUACUCAUUACACUCAUUACUUCACAUCUCUUUCAUCUGUAAUCACACACACACACA